rnacentral:rRNA from 1 species
UACAGGGGGGGGCAAGCGUUGUUCGGAAUUACUGGGCGUAAAGGCUCGUAGGCGGCCAACUAAGUCCGACGUGAAAUCCCAAAGCUUAACUUUGGAACUGCGUCGGAUACUGGAUGGCUUGGAUUUGGGAGAGGGAUGCGGAAUUCCAGGUGUAGCGGUGAAAUGCGUAGAUAUCUGGAGGAACUCGGUGGCGAAGGCGGCAUCCUGGACCGAAAUAUCGCUGAGGACGAAAGCGGUAGGGAGCAAAACGGGAUUAGAACCAUACCGGAC